CCAUCCAGCGGGAGCGUGCAGUAGGCUCUGCCAUCCAGCGGGAGCGUGCAGUAGGCUCUGCCAUCUAGGUUUAUGUCAGUGUACUCAGUGAUGUUCUCACAGCCGUGGAAUCGCAUAACAAUGAAUUUCUUUAAACAUAUCCUCAUGGCUAAGUGACAGGUAAGUGUUCUAAGGGAAGAAUGGAGUGGGGGACCAGUUCCCUGUAAGAUUCUGAGGUUUCUUAGAAUGACGUUUGAUCCUGGGUCUUGAAGUUUGAGUUGAAGAUUUCUAGGAGCAGAAAAGAGGAGGGUGGGGAUAGCAUGCUAGUUGGAGAGAAGAUAAUGAUGAAGAGCACCGUUAAAGAAUGGUGAGAAGGUCGGUACAGUUAAGGGAAAGGAUGCCAUGGAGGGGACAGGAUGGAGAGAAAAGGUGGGAAAUAAGACUAGAGGUAUAAACACUUAACCUGGGUGCUCUGGGUAUUUAAAGUAUUAUAAAGUAUUGAUGAUUUUGAGUUUUUUUUUUUUUUUUUUUUAAGGGACAUGAACUUU